rnacentral:rRNA from 1 species
GCACAAGCGGUGGAGCAUUGUGGUUUAAUUCGAUGGUACGCGAGGAACCUUACCUGGGUUUGACAUACGGAGGGAAGUGGCAGCGAUGUCACUGUGUCGCGAGACGACUCCGCACAGGUGCUGCAUGGCUGUCGUCAGCUCGUGUCGUGAGAUGUUGGGUUAAGUCCCGCAACGAGCGCAACCCUUAUCCCUAGUUGCCAUCAGGUAAAGCUGGGAACUCUGGGGAGACUGCCGGUGAUAAACCGGAGGAAGGCGGGGAUGACGUCAAGUCCUCAUGGCCCUUACAUCCCGGGCUACACACGUGCUACAAUGGCAGGUACAGAGGGCUGCGAAGCCGCGAGGUGGUGCGAAUCCCAGAAAACCUGUCUCAGUCCGGAUUGAAGUCUGCAACUCGACUUCAUGAAGGCGGAAUCGCUAGUAACCGCGAAUCAGCAGGUCGCGGUGAAUACGUUCCCGGGCCUU